rnacentral:rRNA from 1 species
CUUCAUGAAGCCGGAAUUGCUAGUAAUGGCAGGUCAGCAUACUGCCGUGAAUACGUUCCCGGGCCUUGUACACACCGCCCGUCACACCAUGAGAGUUGGGAAUACCCGAAGCCUGUGAGCUAACUUUUAGAGGCAGCAGUCGAAGGUAGAAUCAAUGAUUGGGGUGAAGUCGUAACAAGGUAGC